AUGAACGCUGGCGGCGUGCCUAAUACAUGCCAGUCGAGCGAACAGACGAGGAGCUUGCUCCUCUGACGUUAGCGGCGGACGGGUGAGUAACACGUGGAUAACCUACCUAUAAGACUGGGAUAACUUCGGGAAACCGGAGCUAAUACCGGAUAAUAUAUUGAACCGCAUGGUUCAAUAGUGAAAGACGGUUUUGCUGUCACUUAUAGAUGGAUCCGCGCCGCAUUAGCUAGUUGGUAAGGUAACGGCUUACCAAGGCAACGAUGCGUAGCCGACCUGAGAGGGUGAUCGGCCACACUGGAACUGAGACACGGUCCAGACUCCUACGGGAGGCAGCAGUAGGGAAUCUUCCGCAAUGGGCGAAAGUCUGACGGAGCAACGCCGCGUGAGUGAUGAAGGUCUUCGGAUCGUAAAACUCUGUUAUUAGGGAAGAACAAAUGUGUAAGUAACUAUGCACGUCUUGACGGUACCUAAUCAGAAAGCCACGGCUAACUACGUG
rnacentral:rRNA from 1 species